UACAGAGGGUGCAAGCGUUAAUCGGAGUUACUGGGCGUAAAGGGCGCGUAGGCGGCGUGUCAAGUCAAUUGUGAAAUCUCCGGGCUUAACUCGGAACGGUCAAUUGAUACUGAUGUGCUAGAGUGCAGAAGGGGCAAUCGGAAUUCUUGGUGUAGCGGUGAAAUGCGUAGAUAUCAAGAGGAACACCUGAGGUGAAGACGGGUUGCUGGGCUGACACUGACGCUGAGGCGCGAAAGCUAGGGUAGCAAACGGG
rnacentral:rRNA from 1 species